rnacentral:tRNA from 1 species
GCUGGAAUAGCUCACUUGGCUACAGCGUGUGGCUGUUAACCACAAGGUCGGAGGUUUUAAGUCCUCCUUCUAGCG